rnacentral:rRNA from 1 species
GUGAGGAAUAUUGGUCAAUGGACGCAAGUCUGAACCAGCCAUGCCGCGUGAAGGAUGAAGGCGUUCUGCGUUGUAAACUUCUUUUAUCAGGGAAGAAACCUCAAUAUUCUUAUUGAGCCGACGGUACCUGAGGAAUAAGCACCGGCUAACUCCGUGCCAGCAGCCGCGGUAAUACGGAGGGUGCAAGCGUUAUCCGGAUUUACUGGGUUUAAAGGGUGUGUAGGCGGGCCUUUAAGUCCGUGGUGAAAUACCAGUGCUUAACACUGGAACUGCCAUGGAUACUAUUGGUCUUGAAUGUUGAUGAGGUGGGCGGAAUGUAUCAUGUAGCGGUGAAAUGCUUAGAUAUGAUACAGAACACCGAUUGCGAAGGCAGCUCACUAAACAACGAUUGACGCUGAGGCACGAAAGCGUGGGGAUCAAACAGG